rnacentral:siRNA from 1 species
CGAGCAGCCAUCUCAGGAGUC